UGAUCAAUGGCGAAAGGGCUCCCAGUGGUUCCAGAUAGACCGCAGGCUUGCCCAUGAGGUAAUCUCAAACCAAAAGUAUUUCUCGAUAUUUCAAAGAUUUUGCAAUGACUUGUGCUUCGGUGAUGAGCACUACUUGCCAACUUUGGUUACCAUAAAGUUUUGGAAGAUUUCAAACAGGACAUUGACAUGGGUUAACUGGUCAAGGGGAGGAGCCCAUCCAUUCACGUUUGGGAGGAUGGAAACCACUAGGGAAAACUUGGAGUGGUUGAAGAAUAAUGGGAAUAAGGGAUGUGAAUACAAUGGG
rnacentral:misc_RNA from 1 species